CUCAGGAUGAACCUCGACAAAGACUGCUGCAUCCCUAUCCAGACCUUGCAAGCACACAGUCCAAGAUGGAUGGAUGACGUCUCAUCUGCUCCCAGCAUAAAGUGGGAUUGAGACUUCGGCUGUGCGUGAGGGAUCUGAUGGGAAGUAAAACAGACCCAGCCUAUUUAAUUUCUGCUGAUAACUCAAGUUCUCCAGUCCAGGGACACAAGAGAUUCUACAGAUGCUGGAAUUUGGAGCAACACACACACAAAAUGCUGGAGGAACUCAACAGUCUGUGAAUGUGCUGGGGGCAGCCUGCAAGUGUCGCCACGCUUCCAGUGCCAACAUAGCAAGCCCACAACUUCCUAACCCGUGCGCCUUUUGCAAUGGAGGAGGAAACUGGAACACCUGGAGGAAACCCAUGCAGUCACGGGGAGAACGUACAAAGUCCUUACAGACAGCGGCCGGAAUCGAACCCGGGUCGCUGGCUCUGUAAUAGCGUUACACUAACUGCUACACUACCGUGGCAGCCCACGUGUUGUUCCAGAUUCCAGCAUCUGCAGUCUGUUGUGUGUCCAUCAUUUUAAGCAGGUUGGGACAGCAACACAACCGCAUUAAAAUGCAAAAGUUACAGCUGAGCAGUUAAAAUCCACAGUCUAACCCGCACUCCUCAAAAGACAGGGCUUGUUAACUUAAUUUGCCUGAAUCAAUAUCUGUGUGGGGGCAUGAGUGCAAAGGGAUGAGAAAGAGGAGAUGAGGUAUUGACAUUUCUGACAGCAAAAAGCCUUUAAGUUGGAAAUGGUGAUAACGGUCUCCUUAUGUGGCUGGUUCCAAUGUUUGAUCCCACUUGUGUUGUGCUUUGGGACAUUAUAACACAUUAAAUAUGUUACAUGGUCAUUGUUACUGCUUCUGUAUCUUUUUCACCUGAAAUAACUCAUCCCUUAUCCAGCAACUACACAAGUCCUACACUGAUGAAACUGCCCUCUAUACCUACUCUCUCAGUCCCUCUUUGUUUACAUGUUUCAUGUUUCAAUAAGUCCUCUUUCACUUUUAUAACGUUCAUCGACUAUAGGCCAAUCUGAUAUAACCUUUCCUCACAUGGCAAUCCCUCAUCCUGGAGUCAACCCAUUGACCCUAAACAGCACCAACUGCAUGACCAGUAUGUCGCUCCUCAGUUGCGGAGAACAAACCUGCACGCAAUGGUCUCACCAGUCUCUGCAAGACCUUCUCAUGUGUGCACUCCAACCCUGUUGGAGUGAAGGCCUUCCUUCCUUAUUGCCUGCUGAACCUGUGUGUUUAUUUUCUGUCUCAUGAACCAGUACACCCAGAUCCCCCGUAGUUUCUCUCCCGUUAAAAAUAUUCUGUUUCUUGUUCAUCCUACCAAAGUGCAUAUUAUUAUUCUUCAUCAUCCUCUUGCUUGAUCUCUGCUGAUCCAUUUGUAUACUCGGUGCCCUCUUCACAGCUCAAUCUCCCACCUUUGUCAUGAGUAAACUUGGAUACAGAACACACUGUUCUUACCUCUUUUCCACUAAUAUGAACUGUCAGUAGCUCACAGCUCUGUGCUGGUCAAUGUGGCACCCAAUAUGGCAGUAAUAUUAGGUUUUGCUUUGCAUCACUUACACCUGUUCAUCAUGUUCAAAACUGUCAAAUCAAAGGCACUGGAGGCUGACACUUUGAGAUCUGGAAUUGACAGGAGGUUGCUAUCAGAAGGCCACUGCAGAGACAGGAGGAGAUUGUGAUAAAGGAAGGCUCUAUUUGAAGCAGGAGGGUAAGUAACACCCUGCCGUUUACUUGUACAUCAUCUGCUGGAGUUAAAUAUGACUCUGUCAACAUUCUGGUAACAGCUGUAAUAUAAAGCUGUCAGGAGGCACAAGAGACUGCAGAUGCUGGAAUCUGGAACAACACAAAAAGCUGGAGGAACUCAGCAGGUCAGAAUCAGAAUCAGGUUUAUUAUCACUGACUUAGAUGACGUGAAAUUUGUUGUUUUGCGGCAGCAGUACAGUGCAAAGACAUUAAAUUACUAUAAAUCACAAAAAUAAAUAAAUACUGCAAAUAAAAAAGGAAUAAUCGGGUAGUGUUCAUGGAUUCAUGGACCUUUCAGAAAUCUGAUAGUGGAGGGGAAGAAGCUGAGUUGGGAUCUUGGGACAGGAUGUGAUUUCGUUGAUCUGACUAGGUUUUGACCGAAGGGGCAAGUUUGGGUGAGGCUUUGGAAGUUAUGAAAGAUGAAUACAUUCCUACAGUGACAAAUUAACCCGUUAAGUUUCUAAACAGAGCCACAACAGAUUCAGAAUUAGAAUCAGAAUCAGAUUUAUUAUCACAGUCUUAGAUGACAUGAAGUGUGUUGUCUUGCAGCAGGAGCACUGCAUAAAGACAUAAAAUUACUAUAAAUUACAAAAUAAAUAAACAGUGCAAACAAAAAGGAAUAACGAGGUAGCAUUCAUGGGUUCACGGACCAUUCAGAAAUCUGAUGGUGGAGGGGAAGAAGCUGUUCCUGAAUCGUUGAGUGUGGGUCUUCAGGCUCCUAUACCACCACCCUGAUGGUAGUAAUGAGAAGAGGGCAUGUCCCGGAUGGUGAGGAUCCUUAGUGAUGGAUGCUAUCUUCUUGAGGCACCGCCUCUUGAAGAUGUCCUUGAUGGCAGGGAGGGUUGUGACCAUGAUGGAGCUGGCUGAGUCUACAACCCGCUGUAGACUCUUGCGAUCCUGUGUAUUGGAGGCUCCAUACCAGGCUGUGAUGCAACCAGUAAGAAUGCUCUCCACCGUACAUCUAUAGCAUCUGUAGAAGGAAAUGGAGAGUUGACGUUUAUGGUCGAGCCCCUUCAGGGUCUUGAACUGAAAUCUCAAUUGUCCAUUUCUCUCCAUAGGUGCUGUCCGACCUGCUGAGUUCCUCAGCAUUUUGUUUGUUAUAAAAUUGGUAGACUUUCUUUCUCAGAAUAACU